UAGGGAAUCUUCGGCAAUGGACGGAAGUCUGACCGAGCAACGCCGCGUGAGUGAAGAAGGUUUUCGGAUCGUAAAGCUCUGUUGUUAGAGAAGAACGUUGGUAGGAGUGGAAAAUCUACCAAGUGACGGUAACUAACCAGAAAGGGACGGCUAACUACGUGCCAGCAGCCGCGGUAAUACGUAGGUCCCGAGCGUUUUCCGGAUUUAUUGGGCGUAAAGCGAGCGCAGGCGGUUCUUUAAGUCUGAAGUUAAAGGCAGUGGCUUAACCAUUGUACGCUUUGGAAACUGGAGGACUUGAGUGCAGAAGGGGGGAGUGGAAUUCCAUGUGUAGCGGUGAAAUGCGUAGAUAUAUGGAGGAACACCGGUGGCGAAAGCGGCUCUCUGGUCUGUAACUGACGCUGAGGCUCGAAAGCGUGGGGAGCAAACAGG
rnacentral:rRNA from 1 species